CACAUCAACUCAACAUCACCUCUUGAGCUCAAAUCGACAUCUUGAGCAUCAUGAAUCUUGCAAAAGUAUUUAUUGUCACCCUGCUGGUUGUUGCUGCCCCGUGGACUACCACAGAACAUUCUACUGACACUAUAUCUACAGAGGCCCCAGAAACCGAUGCAACAUCUAUAGAGGCUCCAGAAACUGAUGAAAUACCUACAGUGGCCCCAGAAACUGAAGCUACAUCUAUAGAGGCCCCAGAAACUGAUGAAAUACCUACAGUGGCCCCAGAAACUGAAGCUACAUCUACAGAGGCCCCAGAAACCGAUGCAACAUCUAUAGAGGCUCCAGAAACUGAUGAAAUACCUACAGUGGCCCCAGAAACUGAAGCUACAUCUAUAGAGGCCCCAGAAACUGACAAAACAUCUAUAGAGGCCCCAAAAACUGAUGAAAUAUCUACAGUGGCCCCAGAAACUGAAGCUACAUCUAUAGAGGCCCCAGAAACUGACAAAACAUCUAUAGAGGCCCCACAAACUGAUGAAAUAUCUACAGUGGCCCCAGAAACUGAAGCUACAUCUACAUCGGCCCCAAAAAUUGGUGCUACAUCUACACCAGCCCAAGAAACCAAGGAAAUAUCUAUAGCGACACAAGCAGCAUCUGCACAGAGCACACCGUCCGUAACUGCAGUUGAAGUUACGGUUAAAGUUACAGCCACCACUAACUCCAGUGGUCUGAACCAAUUGAGACUCAUGUCAGUCAUUGUGGUUAUGACAGUUCAUGUUUUCAGAGUGUUUUAUUGAUAUAAUUAUUUGAAGAAUUCUUUCCCAUCUAUUUAUAUUCAUGAAUGUCCUCAUUACAAGUAUGCUGACGGGAAGUCUGGUACCAGAUAAAGCUGUGUAAUACUGUGA